rnacentral:rRNA from 1 species
GAUGAACGCUGGCGGCGUGCCUAAUACAUGCAAGUCGAGCGAACAGACGAGGAGCUUGCUCCUCUGACGUUAGCGGCGGACGGGUUAGUAACACGUGGAUAACCUACCUAUAAGACUGGGAUAACUUCGGGAAACCGUAGCUAAUACCGGAUAAUAUAUUGAACCGCAUGGUUCAAUAGUGAAAGACGGUUUUGCUGUCACUUAUAGAUGGAUCCGCGCCGCAUUAGCUAGUUGGUAAGGUAACGGCUUACCAAGGCAACGAUGCGUAGCCGACCUGAGAGGGUGAUCGGCCACACUGGAACUGAGACACGGUCCAGACUCCUACGGGAGGCAGCAGUAGGGAAUCUUCCGCAAUGGGCGAAAGCCUGACGGAGCAACGCCGCGUGAGUGAUGAAGGUCUUCGGAUCGUAAAACUCUGUUAUUAGGGACGAACAAAUGUGUAAGUAACUAUGCACGUAUUGACGGUACCUAAUCAGAAAGCCACGGCUAACUACGUG